rnacentral:rRNA from 1 species
UACAGAGGGGGCAAGCGUUGUUCGGAAUUACUGGGCGUAAAGGGCGCGUAGGCGGCCCGCUAAGUCGAACGUGAAAUCCCCGGGCUCAACCCGGGAACUGCGUCCGAUACUGGAAGGCUUGAAUUCGGGAGAGGGAUGCGGAAUUCCAGGUGUAGCGGUGAAAUGCGUAGAUAUCUGGAGGAACACCGGUGGCGAAGGCGGCAUCCUGGACCGGCAUUGACGCUGAGGCGCGAAAGCCAGGGGAGCAAACGGG